rnacentral:rRNA from 1 species
GACGAACGCUGGCGGCGUGCUUAACACAUGCAAGUCGUACGGUAAGGCCCUUUCGGGGUACCCGAGUGGCGAACGGGUGAGUAACACGUGAGUAACCUGCCCACAACUUUGGGAUAACGCUAGGAAACUGGUGCUAAUACUGGAUAUGUGCUCCUGCUGCAUGGUGGGGGUUGGAAAGCUCCGGCGGUUGUGGAUGGACUCGCGGCCUAUCAGCUUGUUGGUGGGGUAGUGGCCUACCAAGGCGGCGACGGGUAGCCGGCCUGAGAGGGUGACCGGCCACAUUGGGACUGAGAUACGGCCCAGACUCCUACGGGAGGCAGCAGUGGGGAAUAUUGCACAAUGGGCGCAAGCCUGAUGCAGCAACGCCGCGUGCGGGAUGACGGCCUUCGGGUUGUAAACCGCUUUCAGCAGGGACGAAGCUUUUUGUGACGGUACCUGCAGAAGAAGCACCGGCUAACUACGUG